GUUGCUACAGUUUUGGUUAAAAGUGGUGCAAAUUAUUGGUUGAGCUUAUAGGAUUAGUAAAUGGAAACGUUUUGACUACCUUCAUGCUUAGUUUUGAU